GACGAACGCUGGCGGCGUGCCUAAUACAUGCAAGUCGAGCGGAUGGAAGGAAGCUUGCUUCCUAAAGUCAGCGGCGGACGGGUGAGUAACACGUGGGCAACCUGCCCCUAAGAUCGGGAUAACUUCGGGAGACCGGAGCUAAUACCGGAUAUGAUUAUGUCUCACAUGGGACAUAAUGGAAAGACGGUUUCGGCUGUCACUUAGGGAUGGGCCCGCGGCGCAUUAGCUAGUUGGUGAGGUAACGGCUCACCAAGGCGACGAUGCGUAGCCGACCUGAGAGGGUGAUCGGCCACACUGGGACUGAGACACGGCCCAGACUCCUACGGGAGGCAGCAGUAGGGAAUCUUCCGCAAUGGACGAAAGUCUGACGGAGCAACGCCGCGUGAGUGAAGAAGGUUUUCGGAUCGUAAAACUCUGUUGUUAGGGAAGAACAAGUACCAUAGUAACUGAUGGUACCUUGACGGUACCUAACCAGAAAGCCACGGCUAACUACGUGCCAGCCGCCGCCGUAACAC
rnacentral:rRNA from 1 species